CGCAGCCGCGGUAAUUCCAGCUCCAAUAGCGUAUAUUAAAGUUGUUGCAGUUAAAAAGCUCGUAGUUGAAUUUCGGGAUCAAUAUAUCGGUCGUGCCUUGGUACGUACUGGUAUCAUUGGUUUCUCCUUUCUGACGAACCAUGAUGUCAUUAAUUUGGUGUUAUGGGAAGUUAGGACUGUUACUUUGAAAAAUUAGAGUGUUUAAAGCAGGCUUUGGCUUGAAUACAUUAGCAUGGAAUAAUGAAAUAGGACGUUCGAACCUAUUUUGUUGGUUUUUAGGAUCAACGUAAUGAUUAAUAGGGAUAGUUGGGGGCAUUAGUAUUCAAUUGUCAGAGGUGAAAUUCUUGGAUUUAUUGAAGACUAACUACUGCGAAAGCAUUUGCCAAGGAUGUUUUCAUUAAUCAAGAACGAAAGUUAGGGGAUCGAAGACGAUCAGAUACCGUCGUAGUCCUAACCAUAAACUAUGCCGACUAGGGAUCGGAUGAUGUUAAUUUUUUAAUGACUCAUUCGGCGCCUUACG
rnacentral:misc_RNA from 1 species